rnacentral:rRNA from 1 species
GAUGAACGCUGGCGGCGUGCCUAAUACAUGCAAGUCGAGCGAACGGACGAGAAGCUUGCUUCUCUGAUGUUAGCGGCGGACGGGUGAGUAACACGUGGAUAACCUACCUAUAAGACUGGGAUAACUUCGGGAAACCGGAGCUAAUACCGGAUAAUAUUUUGAACCGCAUGGUUCAAAAGUGAAAGACGGUCUUGCUGUCACUUAUAGAUGGAUCCGCGCUGCAUUAGCUAGUUGGUAAGGUAACGGCUUACCAAGGCAACGAUGCAUAGCCGACCUGAGAGGGUGAUCGGCCAAACUGGAACUGAGACACGGUCCAGACUCCUACGAGAGGCAGCAGUAGGGAAUCUUCCGCAAUGGGCGAAAGCCUGACGGAGCAACGCCGUGUGAGUGAUGAAGGUCUUCGGAUCGUAAAACUCUGUUAUUAGGGAAGAACAUAUGUGUAAGUAACUGUGCACAUCUUGACGGUACCUAAUCAGAAAGCCACGGCUAACUACGUG